rnacentral:rRNA from 1 species
GAUUUCUGGUUUGAUGUGCCUGUCCCGCCACGGUAACGUGUGUGAGUGCCAGUGUACGUCUGCCAUCCUUCUAGAUUCGGCAGGCUAUUCUUAACUGAGUGGUCUGUCUGUUCUAGAUCUUUUACUUUGAAAAAAUUAGAGUGUUUCAAGCAGGCUUUUGCUAUGAAUACAUUAGCAUGGAAUAAUGAGUUAGGACUUCGGUUCUAUUUUGUUGGUUUCUAGGGCUGAAGUAGUGAUUGAUAGGGACAGUUGGGGGUGCUAGUAUUCAACGGCCAGAGGUGAAAUUCUUGGAUUCGUUGAAGACUAACUUAUGCGAAAGCAUU